AAUGAGCUCGAGCGCAGGCAUCCGACCUCGUCCGGACAGUUCGACGACCCGUCUCCAGGCACUCCAGGCUCAGCUGGAAGAAGAGAGGAGAGAACGUAUGGAGUUGGAGGCAAGGAUGAGGGCGGAGAUGGAGGCCGAGCGGGAGGCUGACCGACAGAGGAUGGCGAGCAUGUUCGCGUACAUUCAGAGUCUUGGCGCCGCGACGGGUCUACCUCCGCCACCUCCCUUCGUCACCCCACCUAGACCACCCACCGAUCCGUUUUCUACUUCAAAUCAGUCGGCGGCCUCCAAUGAUCCUUAUAUUUCUCCAAAUC